GCCCCAGUAGCUCAGCUGGUUAGAUCGCUUCCUUGGUAAGGAAGAGGCCGCGAGUUCGAAUCUCGCCUGGGGCUCCA
rnacentral:tRNA from 1 species